rnacentral:rRNA from 1 species
AUUGAACGCUGGCGGCAGGCUUAACACAUGCAAGUCGAGCGGAGAUGAGGUGCUUGCACCUUAUCUUAGCGGCGGACGGGUGAGUAAUGCUUAGGAAUCUGCCUAUUAGUGGGGGACAACAUUCCGAAAGGGAUGCUAAUACCGCAUACGCCCUACGGGGGAAAGCAGGGGAUCUUCGGACCUUGCGCUAACAGAUGAGCCUAAGUCGGAUUAGCUAGUUGGUGGGGUAAAGGCCUACCAAGGCGACGAUCUGUAGCGGGUCUGAAAGGAUGAUCCGCCACACUGGGACUGAGACACGGCCCAGACUCCUACGGGAGGCAGCAGUGGGGAAUAUUGGACAAUGGGCGGAAGCCUGAUCCAGCCAUGCCGCGUGUGUGAAGAAGGCCUUUUGGUUGUAAAGCACUUUAAGCGAGGAGGAGGCUACCUGGAUUAAUACUCUAGGAUAGUGGACGUUACUCGCAGAAUAAGCACCGGCUAACUCUGUGCCAGCCGCCGCAGUAACAC